rnacentral:rRNA from 1 species
UACGUAGGGGCCAAGCGUUGUCCGGAUUUACUGGGCGUAAAGAGCGCGCAGGCGGUCGUUCAAGUCGAGUGUGAAAGCCCCCGGCUCAACUGGGGAGGGUCACUCGAUACUGAUCGACUCGAAGGCAAGGAGAGGGUAGUGGAAUUCCCGGUGUAGUGGUGAAAUGCGUAGAUAUCGGGAGGAACACCAGUGGCGAAGGCGACUACCUGGCCUGUUCUUGACGCUGAGGCGCGAAGCUAGGGAGC